UGGGACUGAGACACGGCCCAGACUCUACGGAGCAGCAGUGGGGAAUAUUGCACAAUGGGCGCAAGCCUGAUGCAGCGACGCCGCGUGAGGGAUGACGGCCUUUCGGGUUGUAAACCUCUUUCAGCAGGGAAGAAGCGGAAGUGACGGUACCUGCAGAAGAAGCGCCGGCUAACUACGUGCCAGCAGCCGCGGUAAUACGUAGGGCGCAAGCGUUGUCCGGAAUUAUUGGGCGUAAAGAGCUCGUAGGCGGCUUGUCGCGUCUGCUGUGAAAGCCCGGGGCUUAACUCCGGGUGUGCAGUGGGUACGGGCAGGCUAGAGUGCAGUAGGGGUAACUGGAAUUCCUGGUGUAGCGGUGAAAUGCGCAGAUAUCAGGAGGAACACCGAUGGCGAAGGCAGGUUACUGGGCUGUUACUGACGCUGAGGAGCGAAAGCAUGGGGAGCGAACAGGAUUAGAUACCCUGGUAGUCCAUGCCGUAAACGUUGGGCACUAGGUGUGGGGGACAUUCCACGUUUUCCGCGCCGUAGCUAACGCAUUAAGUGCCCCGCCUGGGGAGUACGGCCGCAAGGCUAAAACUCAAAGGAAUUGACGGGGGCCCGCACAAGCGGCGGAGCAUGCGGAUUAAUUCGAUGCAACGCGAAGAACCUUACCAAGGCUUGACAUACACCGGAUCGUUCCAGAGAUGGUUCUUCCCUUUUGGGCUGGUGUACAGGUGGUGCAUGGUUGUCGUCAGCUCGUGUCGUGAGAUGUUGGGUUAAGUCCCGCAACGAGCGCAACCCUCGUUCUAUGUUGCCAGCACGUGAUGGUGGGGACUCAUAGGAGACUGCCGGGGUCAACUCGGAGGAAGGUGGGGAUGACGUCAAAUCAUCAUGCCCCUUAUGUCUUGGGCUUCACGCAUGCUACAAUGGCCGGUACAAUGGGUUGCGAUACUGUGAGGUGGAGCUAAUCCCAAAAAGCCGGUCUCAGUUCGGAUUGGGGUCUGCAAUGACUCCAUGACGUCCGGCGCAGACCCACCCAGCACACUGC
rnacentral:rRNA from 1 species